GUAGGAUGGCAUAGUGGUAAUGCCCUCUUGCAAGUUUCCCAUAACUCGCAAGAGUCCCUGGUUCAAAUCCCGGCCUACG